GUUUUUUUUGUUUGUAAUUUUAUUUGAGCACAAGUCUGUAUUAAUUGAUAAGACUCAGAGACAUUUCAUUUGGAUUGUUGUACCAGACCUACAAAUAUGCCAAUCGGACUGAAUGUGCAUUCAGCAAUAGUAGUCGUAUAGAUGGACCAUAAGUGGCACGCAUCGAAAAGGGCCAAGAUGCUGGCUAAAAAGGAUGUUGUUGUAGCCCAAAAAAAGUACAGCAGCUUGGCUUAUGUAUGUUAGUUGAUAUUAUUGAUCCAUAUACUCUAUAAGUGUUUAUAUGUCUGUUAGUUCUGUACAUUCUUGGUUGAUUGACUCGGUAUUUGAAUCUUGAUACAUCGCUUGUGUACAUAUCUAAAUGGGAGUACACAUUAUGCUGUGUGUGACAUUUGAGUUGGACAUGAAGUGUUCCAAAUAUUCGAAUUCACCUUAAACUGGAUUCUAGUUUCUGAAUUUGAGUAUCGGCAUUUGUAAACCAUAUUCAUAUAUGGCGGUGGAAUACAUCUUUGUCGUCCUUUUGAAGAUAUAUAAAAACACAUAGAAUGAUUUAUAAAGAUUCAUAUAGGAUUACAAAAUGGAUUCGAAUUUAGUUACCAGGGUAAACAUGGAUGCUUAUUAUCCCAAAAUUCGAAAGAAGCAGCAAAAUGUCCACUCCCACGUCGGCUGCCCGAAGCCAAGUGUUUGGGAGAUGGAAAUUAUUGUCUACCCAUUACACAGACAAUCCAUCGGCCCGAUUUCCACUGCUCUAAAUAGGGGUAGGUUAGUAACUUCAAUUAGACGUGACACGACCGCCUCUGAGCCCAUUCCGACACGGUGGGCGUCAAACAUGGGCGGCAAAACUCAUUUGAUUCAAGCUCGUCCAAAAGACCUCUGUUUCUCCCUCCAUUCCCUAUUCAUACACGGUGGGCGGCAAAACAAACUCGACUCGGCCGAAAUCGAUGUAGGCAAAUAUUUUCAAUAGGGACGGGUUUGUAACUUCACUCAGACGUGACACAACCGCCCUACCUAUCAGCCCCGUUCAUACACCAUGGGCGCCAACCACCCUCUCCUCGCCCGAAAUCGCUCUAGGCAAAUAUUGGCAAGAUGCGAGAUUACCGUCCUAUCCCCAACUGACGAACGUCCAAAUUUUAAACGGGGGCUAAGUUCGUAACUUUCCCAUAUUUCAGACAGGCGCGUCCCAAAAACAUGGUUCCCUGUACCUCUCCCUCCAUUUUCCCAUUCAUACACCGUCCGCGCUAGAACACCCCAUCCCCACACCAGCCUCCGUCCGCCACCCCAUCCAUCGCCGCCGUCCUCCACCACAUCCAUCGCCACCGUCCUCCACCAUGCCGGAGCGCCCACCAAGACCGCGUCGUCCACUGCUAGAGAUGGACGUUUCUCAUCCACGGCGACGGACCAAUAGCCUUGCAUCGCGUCCUCUCGCUUCAUCGGCGUCGUCGUCCUCUUUGCCGGGGCCACUCACACGACCUUAUCUUCCACCAUAACGGGACUUAUCCCCCGAUGCACCCGUCUACCGUCGUAGAUCUGCUUCAACGCCACCGACAGCCAUCGCACCCCCAAUGCCUACACGGCGCCGCAAGAGAGGUGGUACUUCAUAUCUCCUCAACUUUUUGAUCUCAACCAGAAAAUAGAUCUUAACUUGGUUACUCUACUUUCUUUUCAGCUCUUAGAAUUUAGUUCUUAGUUUGAAGCAAACAAUGGAUGCUAAAUAUCAUUUCUCCAGUUUGCAGCUUCAAAUCCGCCAUGGCACAGCCAUAAUAUGAUUUAAUUGAUCAUGCUUAGGGUUUAAUUGAUCAUGUUGGUUCCGUGGUGGUUUCUUUAAUAGAAAUCGGAGGGGAAACCCUCUUUUGCUAAAAAAAUAUGCUUAGAGUUUCCCCCUUUUAUGAUCACUAUAUGAUCAGAAUACGCGCUUCGUGUCAUAAUAACACUGCUCCACCCAUCAAGCUAAACAAGCUUAGUUGUUCAAAUACGAAUCUGAUAUUAUUAAAACAGAGUUGUUUAAUUGGCCAGCUAAAUGUUCCUAAAUUAGUUUCAAAAAUGCAUGUUCGCCGCUCGGGUGUGUAUCUCUACAGGGUGCCCACAGUGGGCCAGCCCACCCUGGGAUUUUGGGUCGUCCCAGGCCCUAAUUCCCCUAUGUUCUACUGCGCGCUUCCGAUUUCUACUCGCCCCCAGCCGCCUGCCUCGUCGGUGACUUGCCGUCCUCGGACGACAUGACUCUAGGAGGAGACGCCGGACUAACAGGAGGCCAGGAGCCGCUCGCCCAACAGCGUCACCGCUGCCCAGGCGCGCUGCCGUGCCUACCUUCCCAGUCCGUUCAGGGCUCAGGCGUGCAGCACCCACCAAGCCAACCCGAUUUAUCCUGAGAUACGUCCUCAACACUCAGCAACCACUCCUCACCACCCAUUUUCUAAUUGAUUCAUUACUCAUUAGGCAGGACUGUCAUUAGGGUUUGUUGUGUGCUCAGUGCUACCUACACUUAAUGGUUCAGAUGUAUUUCGGUAAUCUUUAGUACCUCUAAAGUUCACAUGGUUUUCAAAAUUCCGGCCCUCGGAACAGAAACUAGUCAUUUUGGAUUGUUGGUCGUAGUGACAUUGACCCAGAUUACUACUGCAAGCCAGGUUUAUUGACAAUUUUACUUGUCUUUCUUACUUAUUCGAUAUAAUAUCCAAUUAUUCACGUUGAUUAGUUGUAAACAAUAAGUGCUAGACAAACUUCUUCAUUCAGAUUUUGGACGAUCUCUUACUGCAGUUACAAUUCUGCAUACUUGUCCUAGUAAGCUUACAAGUAAAUGAUUGAUUCACUACAUCUAUGCUUGCCUUGUCAUAUUUGUUGUCAAUAUUCUUUUAGGGUGGACCACCCUGUUUCUAAAUACUGGAACCAUAGACAUGAGUGAAUAGUAUUUCUCUAUGUGAUCUCUUCCAUCAUGUGUGGGUAACGAACAUUGCAUUGUAUAGAAAGAAAGUGUCAUUUCCAGCUUUUACAUAGGUUUCAAUCUUUUACAUGGAAUACAAUCUGCCUACUUGCUUUGUGUCGCACUACCAACACUCCACCCUUGAAGCUAAACAUUACGCCACUCAUAAUUGCUUAGUUUAUUUGUUCAAAUACGAAUUUCAUAUGAUUCUAAUGUUCCUACUUUAGUUUUGAAAUGUGUGCCUGCCUGUUAUAGAGACAUAAGAGGUUUGUAUUUCUGUGUGUGGUCUGGUCAGGACGGUUGGGGAGGUGAACUUUGCAUAUGCAGGGUUUUAUAGGGAGACACUCUCCGAGUUGAAUCUGCAAUGCAUUCCAUAGAUAAUCUGACUACUUUUUAUGUUUUCAUGAAUCUCAGAUUCUGAAUAGCAUCAUAAUGAUUAUGAGCUUGCGCGCAUGAAAAGAAUAAAGCAGAACAAUGCCAUGGCUGUCAAACUUGGCAUUAAGGGACUGAAAUCAAGUCUGGAUGCAAUGCAAUGCAAACGCUCUCCACCUACAGAUUCAUGCUUAGAAUAUGAUCCUAACAGUGAUUCUGAGCUAGAGGGAGACCUAAGUCAAUGUAGCUCCCUAGUGGAGGAGUCAGAGGAAGAUGUCCUAUCUUAUUCACCCAUCAAGGUACUUGCUCUAACUUUCCAAGGUUACAUUGCCCGCACAUAUCUUGCAACUGAUGCGUUGCAUUGCUUCUACUUUGUUGAACUGCCAUUAGGUUAGUUUACACAUCGUGUAUGUGAAUACGCCCUGCCUAUCCAUUUUCAGUACAUAUUCCAUCUGUCAUCAUACCAUAUUUAUCCAUUCAAAUGUUGCUCUUGUGUAUCAGACGUUCAAAAGAAAGAGGGUGAUUGCUGAUCGUGGAGGAGCACAAGCAAAGUAUUUGGAAAAGGUAGUGGCACCUGAUAAAUCAAAUAGCCCAUUAGGUGUAGUUGCAAUAUCACCUGACCCACAAAAUACCCCAACUCUAGCAGACUCUAGCCCUACUACACUGGUCAUUUCUGAUGCCCCAACUCAACAGACCCCAACUACAGCAAACAAUAUGAUUAUGCCAGUUGACAUAGCACCAGCUGUACGACGCAAAAACCCCAUUCCAGCAAAGAGUACACCAAAUCCAGUUGCCAAAUCCCUUUUCGAACCAGAGAGAGCCCCUCCAAUGAAGUGUGAGUAGUUUACCUCAGACCUACGGGUCCAUAGUUAGUAGCUAGAUGGCUUCUUCUCUCUUUUUGGAUCUCAAUACAAUUCCCCCUCUCUUGUGGAGAUCUAUUCGAUGUAAUCUUCUUUUUGCGGUGUGUUUGUUAAGACCGAUGAAUUGUGGAUUUAUGGUCAAGUCUAUCUAUGAAUAAUAUUUGAAUCUUCUCUGAAUUUUUUUAUGUAUGAUUGGUUAUUUUUGCAAGUCCCUUCGAAUUAUCAGUUUGGUUUGGCCUAUUAGAUUGAUCUUUCUUGCAAUGGGAGAAGUGCUUAGCUUUGGGUUCAAUCUUGCGGUGUCCUUUCCCGAUGACAGUAAGGGUAGCAAGGCACGUAUUGUAUCGUUGCCAUCGAGGGUAACAAGAUGGGGUUUUCUUCAUAUUGCAUGAGUCUAUCCCUCUACAUCAUGUCAUCUUGCUUAAGGCGUUAUUCUAUUUUUAACUUAAUACUCUAAAUGCAUGCUGGAUAGCGGUCGAUGAGUGGAGUAAUAGUAGUAGAUGUAGGCAGGAGUCGGUCUACUUGUCUCGGACGUGAUGCCUAUAUACAUGAUCAUACCUAGAUAUUCUCAUAACUAUGCUCAAUUCUGUCAAUUGCUCAACAAUAAUUUGUUCACCCACCGUAGAAUACUUAUGCUCUCGAGAGAAGCCACUAGUGAAACCUAUGGCCCUCGGGUCUAUCUUUAUCAUAUUAAUCUCCUACUACUUAGUUAUUUACUUUGCCUUUAUUUUACUUUGCAUCUUUAUCAUAAAAAUACCAAAAUUAUUAUCUUAUCAUAUCUAUCAGAUCUCACUCUCGUAAGUGGCCCUAUAGGGAUUGACAACCCCUAUUUGCGUUGGUUGCGAGGAUUUAUUUGUUUUGUGCAGGUACGAGGGACUCGCGCGUAGCCUCCUACUGGAUUGAUACAUUGAUUCUCAAAAACUAGGGAAAAUACUUACGCUACUUUGCUGCAUCAUCCCUUCCUCUUCGGGGAAAAACCAACGCAGUGCUAAAAGAGGUAGCAAAGAAGCAAAUCUCUCCACACUGUUCCUUUUGACUACUGACGCGAGACACCUUAUGCAGAACUUCGAAGAGGUAUCGAUCAGCAACGUCAAACGGAACUGAAAUAAAAUGACUCAUGAAUUGGCCACCUGGGCAAGAUCAGGGGAUGUGAUUUGUGUGGCAGAUGUCCCACGGGAUCUAAGAGCAAGUCUAGCAAAAGAUCGUAAUCCAGUCCUUGGGGCGAUGUAAGAUGGCUUUAUGCCUUUUUUCUCAAAAAAAGAGAAUAUCCAUGACAUUUCGAUCACAAGAUGUGUUGCUCCCACUUUCGAACAGAAAGAAGUCGACUAUAUUAUUCCGGCGACUCGGGUGUGUGUGGAUUGUCAGACAUGUUUCAGUGUAGAAGACAUAGCAUCUCUGGACAUGUUUUGUUUCCAAGAAAUUUUGAAAAAAUGCACCACUGAUUUAUACAAGGAGUAUCAAUUCAAAUUGAAUGUGCAAUUGCUUUAUGCAUAAUAUCCAACUUUUUUUCAGGUACUCCUUUGUUGGCUUUCGGAUCUAAAUGAUUUCAAAGCUCAACUCCAAUAUGACCAGGAGCGUGAACAAAAAAAAUCCAUUGGCUGUCGGGAAGGCGCUAUUUGGUUAUCCUAAAGCACUGCGUUCAGAAAACUUAAACACAUGACAAAAAAAACUUAAAACUCCAGAAGGGUGAAGAGGAUAAUCAAAGACCAACAGUGCUAGGAGUUGGCACAUCUCUAGUUCUAUUGUUUUAUUUACUUCAUUCAAGAACUAGUAUUCAAAGUCGUUCCAGUCGGGAAUUAAGUCUAGAGGCACCUGAGGCAUUUUAAAAAAUAUAAGAAUUUCAACAGUUUUGAUAUUAUUUUUGUUGCGAUCACGUAUGGAACUUUAACAAAUGACUUCAGUGUUUUCUUCUAGAGUAAAUAAAUAUAAUGCUAUCAACGUAAAAAUAAAAUUUGAUUAUCAACUUCCAUGUGAAACCUGAUCCCUUUGAGAAUCUUAACACAUGAGUAUAACAUUAGACCAUGUUCAUUAAAAAUGUUUCAACUUUUAUAUAGGAUGGAAUGCCAAAACGUCUUAUAUUUAAAAAUAAAAUUUUUUCUUCAAAAAACUUAACACGCCAGUAUAACAUUAGGCCAGAAGGAUAAUGGUAUCUUAGGCCAGAAGGAUAAUGAUAUCUUAGCCAGGUAAGAGUAUAGGGUUCAAGUUCUGAUGCUUGCAUUUUUUUCUUCUUCAAUCUACGUUCAGUGCUUCUACGUUCAGUGCAAGUAGACGUUAUGCCGGCUUGGUAAAAUCUGAAGAUGAUAUUCCGGCUUAGUUUUUCAGAUAUGCUCAAUGCGGUAGGGUCUAUGUGCGCGUUUGAUAGGUGGCUAAUGUGGUAGGGUAUGUGUUCGUUGAGUGUAUAUGCGCCUUCUGCACUGUGUUAAAAAGUUUCACUUUUAAACGUCUUACAUUAUAGCUUGUAAACUUACAUUACAGGACGGAGGCAGCAGCAACAUUGUUUUGUACGCGCAUUGGUAUUUUCAGUAAUUAGGGUAUGAAUUGCUUGCUCGUGACAAAUUUGUAGCAGCGCAAACAUUUGCUACAUGCUGAAAAUUGCGUGCUGCUUCAUAAUAAUUUGUUUUCUAACUAAGAGCCAUGCUGUCGGUAACUAAAAACCAAGCAAAUAAGGUUGAAAUCAUUUUAUGUCGCCAGGAAUAAUUCUGAGGAUGUACGUAUACAAAAAAAAAGAUGGCCCAUACAGGUCUCGAACCUGUGACCUUCGCGUUAUUAGCACGACGCUCUAACCAGCUGAGCUAAUAGGCCUUAUUGCUACGUUGGGAUGAAAAUGUUUAUAUAAACAAAGUCGGAGGAACCAUUGUGAAGGAAGCAGGUUCCUCACCUGCCGCGCACCGACUGCUCCGGAUCCUCCAACGCACGACCUAGUACACCACAGCGACCGCGGAGGCCCUCCAGGCUCCGGCGCCAGCCUUAUCUAUCUGCGUAUCUGCAAUCGACGACGUUCCGCCCGGGGGAAGAAGGGAAUAUCUGUAUCUAUCUGCAGUCGACCGUCGACGCUCCGGCCGGGGGAAGAGAGGAACCAGGGAAGGACGGGAGACCGUACGGGGCUGAACAUUCAAGAGUACAUGGCAUAUCAUAUCGCGUUAUUUAUGUUUUCACCACAUGGAUCUGUGGCCUGCUGUACAUACACACAAGGACACGGAAAGCAUCACAGGUGGGUGCAGCUCCGCCCCUGCGAGAUCCACCGACGACGGACACACGGCGAUCUAGGACAUCUUGACGUGCUCCAUGCGCUGCCUCUCCAUGUACUCGAAGAGGCUGCCGUCGUACAUCCGCCGGAUGGCCUCCC
rnacentral:lncRNA from 1 species